ACGGGUGCGUAACGCGUGGGAAUCUGCCCUUGGGUUCGGAAUAACAGUUAGAAAUGACUGCUAAUACCGGAUGAUGUCUUCGGACCAAAGAUUUAUCGCCCAAGGAUGAGCCCGCGUAAGAUUAGCUAGUUGGUGGGGUAAUGGCCCACCAAGGCGACGAUCUUUAGCUGGUCUGAGAGGAUGAUCAGCCACACUGGGACUGAGACACGGCCCAGACUCCUACGGGAGGCAGCAGUGGGGAAUAUUGGACAAUGGGCGCAAGCCUGAUCCAGCAAUGCCGCGUGAGUGAUGAAGGCCUUAGGGUUGUAAAGCUCUUUUACCAGGGAUGAUAAUGACAGUACCUGGAGAAUAAGCUCCGGCUAACUCCGUGCCAGCAGCCGCGGUAAUACGGAGGGAGCUAGCGUUGUUCGGAAUUACUGGGCGUAAAGCGUACGUAGGCGGUUAUUCAAGUCAGAGGUGAAAGCCCGGGGCUCAACCCCGGAACGGCCUUUGAAACUAGGUAGCUAGAGUCUUGGAGAGGUUAGUGGAAUUCCGAGUGUAGAGGUGAAAUUCGUAGA
rnacentral:rRNA from 1 species